UACGUAGGGGGCGAGCGUUGUCCGGAUUUAUUGGGCGUAAAGAGCUCGUAGGCGGUUCGAUAAGUCGGAUGUGAAAUCUCCACGCUCAACGUGGAGGGGCCAUUCGAUACUGUCGUGACUCGAGUCCGGGUAGGGGAGUGUGGAAUUCCCGGUGUAGCGGUGAAAUGCGCAGAGAUCGGGAGGAACACCCGUAGCGAAGGCGGCACUCUGGGCCGGUACUGACGCUGAGGAGCGAAAGCGUGGGGAGCAA
rnacentral:rRNA from 1 species